GGUUUGCUCUGUUCUGUUCUUUUUUUUUGCUUUUCUUCUCUAUGAUUCUUGUUUAUAGCAGAGAAAUAACUGUUUGUCUUAUUGUUACUGCUAGUGGAUGUUCAUUAAUUUAUUGAUUUCGGUUCCUCCCUAAUGCUUUAUAGUUCAUAUUUAGUUCAUCUGUGCCUUUUUUAUGGUUCUAUGUUUUGUUGACCUAGUUUAGGAUAUGGAUUAAAUUUGGGAUAUCUUCACAUUUGGUGGUCUUUGUUGAUGCUAUUCUGCACUGAACCAAUCUAUCUCUAUGUUGCUUGAUUUGCUUUGUCUAAACCCUAUACCAGUGGUUGCAGGUUGAUAGGCCACUUGGCUUAAUUACUUACUGCUUGUUGUUCCUCCUGAUUACUAUAUUUGCUUGUAAUUUCUGGUUCUUGCU
rnacentral:lncRNA from 1 species